GAUGAACGCUAGCUACAGGCUUAACACAUGCAAGUCGAGGGGAAACGAUAUUGGAAGCUUGCUUCCGAUAGGCGUCGACCGGCGCACGGGUGAGUAACGCGUAUCCAACCUGCCCACCACUUGGGGAUAACCUUGCGAAAGUAAGUCUAAUACCCAAUGAUAUCUCUAGAAGACAUCUGAAGGAGAUUAAAGAUUUAUCGGUGAUGGAUGGGGAUGCGUCUGAUUAGCUUGUUGGCGGGGUAACGGCACACCAAGGCGACGAUCAGUAGGGGUUCUGAGAGGAAGGUCCCCCACAUUGGAACUGAGAUACGGUCCAAACUCCUACGGGAGGCAGCAGUGAGGAAUAUUGGUCAAUGGGCGAGAGCCUGAACCAGCCAAGUAGCGUGCAGGAUGACGGCCCUAUGGGUUGUAAACUGCUUUUAUAAGGGAAUAAAGUGAGCCUCGUGAGGCUUUUUGCAUGUACCUUAUGAAUAAGGACCGGCUAAUUCCGUGCCAGCCGCCGCAGUAA
rnacentral:rRNA from 1 species